AAAUAAAUUUAUUAAGGCACACCUCAGAUAUAGAUCUUUGAGCGGCCUAAGCUAAAAAAUGCAAUCAAAGUUUUAUCCCUAUAAAGCUUCAAAGGGUCUUUUUGUCCUUUAGUUAGAUGUAUUACUUAGACAGCAUAUUAUUUGUACUGAAAAUUCGAUCGCGCCUG
rnacentral:rRNA from 1 species